rnacentral:rRNA from 1 species
CACGUAGGGUGCGAGCGUUGUCCGGAAUUAUUGGGCGUAAAGAGCUCGUAGGCGGUGUGUCGCGUCGGCCGUGAAAACCUGCAGCUUAACUGUGGGCGUGCGGUCGAUACGGGCAUCACUGGAGUUCGGCAGGGGAGACUGGAAUUCCUGGUGUAGCGGUGAAAUGCGCAGAUAUCGGGAGGAACACCAGUGGCGAAAGCGGCUCUCUGGUUCAAUACUGACACUGAGAUGCGAAAGCGUGGGGAGCGAACGGG